AUUGAACGCUGGCGGCAGGCCUAACACAUGCAAGUCGAGCGGAUGAACGGAGCUUGCUCCUGGAUUCAGCUGCGGACGGGUGAGUAAUGCCUAGGAAUCUCCCUGGUAGUGGGGGAUAACGUCCGGAAACGGGCACUACUACCGCAUACGUCCUUAGGGAGAAAGUGUGGGAUCUUCGGACCUCACGCUAUUAGAUGAGCCAAGGUCGGAUUAGCUAGUUGGUGGGGUAAAGGCCUACCAAGGCGCCGAUCCGUCACUGGUCUGAGAGGAUGAUCAGUCACACUGGAAGUGAGACACGGUCCAGACUCCUACGGGAGGACGCAGUGGGGAAUAUUGGACAAUGGGCGAAAGCCUGAUCCAGCCAUGCCGCGUGUGUGAAGAAGGUCUUCGGAUUGUAAAGCCCUUUAGGUUGGGAGGAAGAGCAGCAAGUUAAUACCUUGCUGUUUUGACGGUACCAAAAGAAUAAGCACCGGCUAACUUCGUG
rnacentral:rRNA from 1 species